rnacentral:lncRNA from 1 species
AAGGAUUGAUUUUGAAUCAAGGAGUUCAUUAAUUAGCCAUCAUGUUUAUUUAUAAGGAAUUCUUGUAGUUAGGCAAUGUUAACCAUUAUAGGUUGAUUCUUUGUUGUAUUUAUUAAUGCAGCACGAUAACUUCAAAUAUUAAGAGGUUGCAUAUUCCUUUAUAAUUAAUCUGGUACCGUAGUUAAAAUCAGAGCUUUAACACUUUAACUGAAUUCAGCCAAGAUUCUGGUUUUAUUUCUCACACGAUGUCAAAACAGGAAUCUAGACUCCUUGACUCUACUUGUGUAGUAUGUUGGUAAUUACCAUUGACGGAACACUCCCUUGCCCUAGCCUUGACUCGGGUAUAGAGGGUAGUCAUCGAGUAAGCCUUGACUCGGAUAUAGAGGGUAGUCAUUGAGUAAGCCUCACUAAAAGAUAUGUGAUAUAACAUGGGUGAAAGAAUUAGUAAACCGGACAAGUAUCGGCCUUGUUGGUGUUAUUCUCAUCAUAGUUCUGCUAUCUGCAUAAUUUGUUUUCGUGCAUGUAAAGAUUAGACUCUUACACCUCCUUAUGUCGUCCUGUUGUAGCUGGUCCUCAAGCAGCCUGCAUUGGUUGUGCCGGCUUUGCUGCAUUUUCGGUGCUGAUAGAGAAGUUUUUGGAUAGACAUGAUUGAGUUUAGCGCGUUGCCCGUGCUGCCCCAGUUUUGCAGGCACAAAAAGUAUGACAAUUCAGUAGAAGAGCCCUGCGGUGAUACAAAUGUGUUUGCUUAGGUUCAACUGCAGCCCUUGUUAUGAUUAUUUAUCCCAAAUUUAUGAAGGGUUGUUCUAGCGAACAUACAAAUCCUAUGAUUUUGUAUUAUGCUUUCUCUUGAACACAGUUGAGAUUUUUAUAGUUUGAAUACGCACGGCUGCGGGGUUUAUAACUCCAUAAGAAUCUACCCCGUAGUUUUAGCAUUCAGAUUUUGAGAAAAGGUUUACAUUCUAAAGACUGGAUGGACAUUCAGUUCGCUCCCAAAGUUUACGUUAUUCCUUGCCCUCCACAGACAGUAAACUGCAGCAUCAAGGCAAAAUCUUUUUGGUAAUAAGUCACCGUAUUCCUAUCUUGGGAAAUAAAAAAGCAAACAGGUAAAACGGGGCUGUCCAAUCUCUACGUUAAUAUUAAUUAAUAUUAGAGACUUCAAUCAAAACCAGAAAAUCAAUAAGAUUUCAAUUAAAGAACAUUAGUAUCUAGAGACUGAAUAUAAUUUUUUCCAAAAAAAAAAAUAAUUGCCUAAGAGAACAGUGGCAUGAAUGCCAAAUACCGCUUCACCGUGACAUAUAUGCUUGCUUCUGUUGUCGAGGAUUGAUUCGUAAGCCAUCGUGUUUGUUUAUAUG